GUGGGGAAUAUUGGACAAUGGGCGCAAGCCUGAUCCAGCCAUGCCGCGUGUGUGAAGAAGGCCUUCGGGUUGUAAAGCACUUUUGUCCGGGAAGAAAUCUUCCAGGUUAAUACCCUGGGAGGCUGACGGUACCGGAAGAAUAAGCACCGGCUAACUUCGUGCCAGCAGCCGCGGUAAUACGAAGGGUGCAAGCGUUACUCGGAAUUACUGGGCGUAAAGCGUGCGUAGGUGGUUCGUUAAGUCUGCCGUGAAAGCCCCGGGCUCAACCUGGGAAUGGCGGUGGAUACUGGCGGGCUAGAGUGCGGUAGAGGGUGGUGGAAUUCCCGGUGUAGCAGUGAAAUGCGUAGAGAUCGGGAGGAACAUCUGUGGCGAAGGCGGCCAUCUGGACCAGCACUGACACUGAGGCACGAAAGCGUGGGGAGGAAACAGGAUUAGAUACCCCAGUAGUCC
rnacentral:rRNA from 1 species